AGAAACCGUAGCUCAAUGGCAGAGCAUCUUCCUUGCAUGUAAAAGGUUCCAGGUUCAAUCCCAGGUGUCUCCA